AAUCCGUCGAAUUUAAAAAUCGUGAGGGUUCAAGUC
rnacentral:tRNA from 1 species